GGGCGUCGGAAAGCGGCCUUCUGGGACUCCGCAAACUCCCGUUCUCCCUCCCCCCUCCCCCUUGCCAUUCCCUUUGCCUUCCGGGCGCCAAGUCUCUCUGGCCUCCAAGGUGAACCCAACUCCCCAGCGCGCCCCGGGUUCCCGGGUCGGGCCGGCUUCAGGCGGUGGGGAGCGGGAUCCCGGGCCCCGGGCGGGCGGGAGGGACGGGACGCGGUGCAGUGUUGUUUUUUCCCCCGCCAAUAUUGCACUCGUCCCGGCCUCCGGCCCCCCCGGCCCCCCGGCCUCCCCGCUACCCCUAGCGGGGCAGCCCCCGCCCUCCUGGCUCUCCAUCCCGGCGGAUCUUUGAUAGACUGGAGUGUCGCCGCUGCCACCGUGAACGGGAAAAUGGGUCAUGGAGGAGUGACUUCACCAACAUCACUCAUAGGUGCUUGUGUCCGUGGUGAGAAGGGUGAUGGAGAGAAGUGGCUGCAGUUCCCACCCAUGGAGAGGUCACUGGUGAAUCCCAGCUAAAGAGGAAGGACAGGCCCGGCCUGAGUCCCACAGGCUUACCAUCUGAGUCCUUCUGAUUGGGAUUGGGUACCAGGCGGCAGUUAUCGGGACCAGGAGGCACAUAAUCUGGGAUGCCAUCAUUGUCAUCAUCCCCAUCACACUCAUCUCCAAGUCCAUCGUUAUCAGAGUCCAGCUGGGAGCUAUUUGGCAGCUGUGGGCAGUUGUCCUUGGUGUCCUGAUGCCCAUCCCCAUCGCUAAUCAGAAGAACAGGUUGGUGAAAGUCCCGAACUUUGUCUCCCCACCCAGAGGACAACUGGCCAGGAAAUCUGCCUGUUUCUUGUCUCACCCUCUAGUCCACACUCUGCCUAACACUACGCCCUACCUCACAUUCCUAUUGACAUCUGCUGCAGAUCACACCCUUGUGAUGGACAAACUGCUCAGUACAGUCCCACCCACCCAGCCUCCUUGUCCUGGGCACGAGGUUUUUGCCUCCCUGAUUUGGAGUAUUUGGCCCUUACUAGAGAGCUGCCAGAUGAGAACUCAGAGGCUCCUCCCGGCUCACCUGCAUCCUCAAAUACGCCUUCUGUCCAGUCCUAAUCUCCAGCCCAUCGACCUCCGCUGGAGGAAUGGGGGCCAGUGCUGGAAGGCCUGCAUGUUGGUCACCCAGUUUGCAGUCCACGUAGAGAUGUAGGGCAGGGCUGGGUCUGGAGGGACCUCGGAGUCGCAGGAGAACUGUGUGUGUGCGCCCAUCAGCCAGGCCCGCUUGCUGUAGGUUCACGGCGUGGACUUUGCCAUCCUCCCGCUGGUAUCGCACCAGUACUGCCCAGGAGGGGAGAUCAGUAUGGGCGCUAUCCCCCACCCCCUGCCUCCCAGCUGAGCCUUGGAUCAACUCUGCUAGAUACCACAUCUCUAGGGCCCCUAUCCCUAAUUCUACUAUGUGGCUCUCAACACCUUGUAUUUAAUAGGUACACAAUAAAUGUUUUUGAAAUUGC
rnacentral:lncRNA from 1 species